AUUCCAGACUCCUACGGGAGGCAGCAGUGAGGAAUAUUGGUCAAUGGGCGGGAGCCUGAACCAGCCAAGUCGCGUGAGGGAAGACGGUCCUAUGGAUUGUAAACCUCUUUAGGCGGGGAGCAAUGCCGGGCACGUGUGCCCGGAGGGAGAGUACCCGCAGAAUAAGCAUCGGCUAACUCCGUGCCAGUAGCCGCGGUAAUACGGAGGAUGCGAGCGUUAUCCGGAUUUAUUGGGUUUAAAGGGUGCGUAGGCGGAUUUUUAAGUCAGCGGUAAAAUGUCCGGGCUCAACCCGGGCCGGCCGUUGAAACUGGCGUGCUCGAGUUGGAGAGAAGUAUGCGGAAUUCGUGGUGUAGCGGUGAAAUGCAUAGAUAUCACGAAGAACCCCGAUUGCGAAGGCGGCCUGCUGGACUGCAACUGACGUUGAGGCCCGAAAGCGUGGGGAGCAAACAGGAUUAGAUACCCGAGUA
rnacentral:rRNA from 1 species